rnacentral:miRNA from 1 species
AUCUGAAUCACCAGAACUUGUUAAAAUUCAGAGUCUGAUUCAGUAUGUUUGAUGUGAAGGCUGAAACUCUGCAUUUCUAAGAAACCCCCCAGGUGAUGCUGAU